rnacentral:lncRNA from 1 species
UGUGAUCCUCCUGCCUUGGCCUCCCAAGUCUGUGAUUACCCAGGGCUCGGGGCCUGGAGGGCCCUGGUCCCUCUAAAACCAGGACAAACCAGCUGCCGUCAGAAUCUGAACUUGAACUUGAGAUGGGGGGUGGGGUCCAGCCCUUCGGAAGGUACGAAAUUAUUGUCCCCACUGGACACCUGGGACUGCAGUCCCUGCCCUGCACCUCAUCAGGUCCAGUGCUGGCAGAGGGCACAGUCCCAGGGAGCAAGGGCCACCCCAUUCACUGCGGCUCCUCCCUGUCCCCGGGGUCUCAUUCUGCCCCAGCUACUGUCCUGCAAGUCUGAUUUUCCUGGGGCUAAAAUUCCGUCUCAGGUGGCCCUCCCUGGGCCACCUGCCCAUCUGCUCCUUGCAGGGUGGCCUUCCUGCAGAGCGCGCGGUCCCCACCGAGUGACACAGCCAGCAGGGCGCAGGGGUCAGUGAAGCAGCCCCGCCCCCUGGUGGCCAAAUGGAGCAUGGCAGGCGCUUCCUGCGAUGGAGCAUUCCGACACCCCAGGAUGCCACCCGCGCCCAGGGCAGGGAGCCCAUCGGGCAGCUGCAGAACUUGCUCAGGAUACAGCUUGGGCCACCGAGAUCAAAAGACACGACACCAUGAGCGACAAAGUCCCCUUAGACAUUAUCUAGACACAAGAUACGUAGAGAAUGUCUACAGACAAAGCACAGGGGCGCUCCACUGUUAUCC